UGCUGCUUCGCUGACGAGUGGCGGACGGGUGAGUAAUGUCUGGGAAACUGCCUGAUGGAGGGGGAUAACUACUGGAAACGGUGGCUAAUACCGCAUAACGUCGCAAGACCAAAGAGGGGGACCUUCGGGCCUCUUGCCAUCAGAUGUGCCCAGAUGGGAUUAGCUAGUUGGUGAGGUAACGGCUCACCAAGGCGACGAUCCCUAGCUGGUCUGAGAGGAUGACCAGCCACACUGGAACUGAGACACGGUCCAGACUCCUACGGGAGGCAGCAGUGGGGAAUAUUGCACAAUGGGCGCAAGCCUGAUGCAGCCAUGCCGCGUGUAUGAAGAAGGCCUUCGGGUUGUAAAGUACUUUCAGCGGGGAGGAAGGUGUUGUGGUUAAUAACCGCAGCAAUUGACGUUACCCGCAGAAGAAGCACCGGCUAACUCCGUGCCAGCAGCCGCGGUAAUACGGAGGGUGCAAGCGUUAAUCGGAAUUACUGGGCGUAAAGCGCACGCAGGCGGUCUGUCAAGUCGGAUGUGAAAUCCCCGGGCUCAACCUGGGAACUGCAUUCGAAACUGGCAGGCUUGAGUCUUGU
rnacentral:rRNA from 1 species